GCAGGGAAAAAGGGGAAUUCGGAUAAAGCUUCCUCUCAAGCUUUCAAAUCUUGUUGACACUGUAAUGGCCGUUUUAUACCUCAACAAAAAGUUGACUUCUAAUUUAACCUAUAAGUUAUCGUUGACCCGGCCAAAUCGACUCAUUGUUAACAAUUCUUAACAGCUCUCCUAACAGCGUAACUAACAACUGUUUUCGUCCUUAAACCAACGAUAACGGCUGUUAGGCCAUGUUUUGUAACGGCUGUUAGGAGCGUGGUAUCUUAGCCAAAAACGUAAACCUGUGAUUUUCCCGCCAAAAACGUAAAUCCGUGAUUUUUCCGCCAAAAACGUAAACACCGUAAUUUUCCGGCCAAAAACGUAAAUCCGUGAUUUUCCUGCCAAAAAUGUAAAUCCGUGAUUUUCCCGCCAAAAACGUAAACCCGAGAUUUUCCCGCCAAAAACAUAAACCCUUAAUUUUCCCGCCAAAAAACGUAAACCCGUGAUUUUCCCGCCAAAAACGUAAAUCCGUAAAAAGUGGAAUCCGUAAAUAUCCUAAGUUUGAUGAUAAUGAAUUAAUAAUGAUAAUUAUUUAUUAUUUUUUAUAAUAAUUAAUUAAAUUAUUACUUAAAUGGGUUAACCCAUUUAACAAUUUAAUCCAUCAAAUUAAAUGAGUUAUGGAUUGACACAACCCAUUUUGUUAAAUGGGUUGUGUCAAUCCAUAACUCAUUUAACCCUAAACUUAUUUGAUUAUGAGUUGAGUUGAGUUGGGUUACCCAUUUUGACAUCCCUACUCGCGGUAUACCCGAGCUAAUUAAUUUAUAACUAAAU
rnacentral:sRNA from 1 species